rnacentral:tRNA from 1 species
UCUCCGCCAGUCAGCAUUGCCACCGAGUGCCUCUUGUGAUCAAGACUUGUUGGCGGGCUUGAACAGCUGAA